UACGUAGGCAGCGAGCGUUGUUCGGAGUUACUGGGCGUAAAGGGUGCGUAGGCGGUUGUCUAAGUUUGGUGUGAAAUCUCCCGGCUCAACUGGGAGGGUGCGCCGAAUACUGAAUGACUAGAGUGCGGGAGAGGAUAGUGGAAUUCCUGGUGUAGCGGUGAAAUGCGUAGAUAUCAGGAGGAACACCGGUGGUGUAGACGGCUAUCUGGACCGUAACUGACGCUGAGGCACGAAAGCGUGGGUAGCAAACAGG
rnacentral:rRNA from 1 species